CCUACGGGAGGCUGCAGUGGGGAAUAUUGGACAAUGGGCGAAAGCCUGAUCCAGCCAUGCCGCGUGUGUGAAGAAGGCCUUCGGGUUGUAAAGCACUUUCAGUGGGGAAGAAAGCCUUGGGGCUAAUACCCUCGAGGAAGGACAUCACCCACAGAAGAAGCACCGGCUAACUCCGUGCCAGCAGCCGCGGUAAUACGGAGGGUGCGAGCGUUAAUCGGAAUCACUGGGCGUAAAGCGCGCGUAGGCGGUCUGAUAAGCCGGUUGUGAAAGCCCCGGGCUCAACCUGGGAACGGCAUCCGGAACUGUCAGGCUAGAGUGCAGGAGAGGAAGGUAGAAUUCCCGGUGUAGCGGUGAAAUGCGUAGAGAUCGGGAGGAAUACCAGUGGCGAAGGCGGCCUUCUGGACUGACACUGACGCUGAGGUGCGAAAGCGUGGGUAGCAAACAGGAUUAGAUACCCUGGUAGUC
rnacentral:rRNA from 1 species